rnacentral:tRNA from 1 species
GGUUAUAGCUCAGUGGCAGAGUGCUUGCCUUGCAUGUGUGAGGCACUGGGUUCAAUCCCCAGCACCA